rnacentral:rRNA from 1 species
AGUGAACGCUGGCGGUAGGCCUAACACAUGCAAGUCGAACGGCAGCACAGUAAGAGCUUGCUCUUACGGGUGGCGAGUGGCGGACGGGUGAGGAAUACAUCGGAAUCUACUUUUUCGUGGGGGAUAACGUAGGGAAACUUACGCUAAUACCGCAUACGACCUACGGGUGAAAGCAGGGGAUCUUCGGACCUUGCGCGAUUGAAUGAGCCGAGGUCGGAUUAGCUAGUUGGUGGGGUAAAGGCCCACCAAGUGGACGAUGCGUAGCUGGUCUGAGAGGAUGAACAGCCACACUGGAACAGAGACACGGACCAGACUCCUACGGGAGGCAGCAGUGGGGAAUAUUAGGCAAUGGGCGCGAGCCGGAUCCAGCCAUACCGCGGGGGUGAAGAAGGCCUUCGGGUUGUAAAGCCCUUUUGUUGGGAAAGAAAAGCAGCAGGUUUAUACCCCGCUGUUCUGACGGUACCCAAAGAAUAAGCACCGGCUAACUUCGUG